CCAAUAGCGUAUAUUAAAGUUGUUGCAGUUAAAAAGCUCGUAGUUGAAUUUCGAGAUCAAUAUGUCGGUCGUGCUUAGGUACGUACUGGCAUUAUUGAUUUCUCCUUUCUGAUGAACCAUGAUGCCAUUAAUUUGGUGUUAUGGGGAAUCAGGACUGUUACCUUGAAAAAAUUAGAGUGUUUAAAGCAGGCUCACGCUUGAAUACAUUCGCAUGGAAUAAUGAAAUAGGACGUUUGAUUCUAUUUUGUUGGUUUCUAGGAUCGACGUAAUGAUUAAUAGGGAUAGUUGGGGGCAUUAGUAAGCAAUUGUCAGAGUUGAAAUUCUUGGAUUUAUUGAAGACUAACUACUGCGAAAGCAUUUUCCAAGGAUGUUGUCAUUAAUCAAGAACGAAAGUUAGGGGAUCGAAGACGAUCAGAUACCGUCGUAGUCUUAACCAUAAACUAUGCCGACUAGGGAUCGGAUGAUGUUAAUUUUUUAAUGACUCAUUCGGCGCCUUACG
rnacentral:rRNA from 1 species